GAAGCUGCGCCAUCAUUCAUUCUGUUGCUGCCUGUGUUCGCGUCUCUUGCUGUGCGACAUAAUUUUAAACGUGUGAUUACUUGUGUGCGCGGUGUAGAAAAAGACGUGGUGCGUGCUUUGUGUAUUACUCGUGCCCCACUUCAAAGCAAAGCGCUCGUAAACACUGGAAGAUGGAUCCACGAAGGCUGAAACGAUAAGUUGCAACGUGCCCGGGCGGUAGUACUGGCAUAAUAGAAAUUUCAGCGAGUUCCCGCCUGAAAGCCGAGUUUGGUUUCAAGCCACCCUGGACAACUGCUGUAUGAGGCGCCGUUUCUCGGGAGGACCAGUGGGAAGGCGUCAGGUCAUGCAGAUGAUAGCAGCAGUUUCACAAUGCCCAGCCUUGGUGCCCUCCAUCAAGAGCAAGCCACUUGCAUUCGCCGUCAGAGAUGGUUCAUGUCUUCUUGGAAGCAGUUUGGAAGACAACAUUGAUGCAAGAUUCCAGCAAUGCCAUGCGCUGCACUUAUUGGUCAAGAUUCUCAGAGAAUGGAGUCCCUGCAUCUCAUGGUUAACUGUGAACAGUAUUCUUUUUUUCUUUUUGAAAGCUAAACGCCAUUUACUGCAUAGAUUGCAUUUUUGCAGCUCAAAUGUGUACUAUAUUUUUUCUAAUUUUGAAUCAAUAAUAUAUGCAUGGCCAAAAUGACGCACAAGUGAUGCCUGCAUAAGAUGGUGUACAGCACGAAGGAGGACUGCGAGAGACGACAUGACUGCGCUGACUUCCAACAAUAUUUUAUUGCGUUGCCACAUCGUGUGUACAUCUGCACACCUGCACACUUUUACAACGGGAGAUGCGUCUAGGU